GUCAAAGUGCGUAAACAAAGUGUAAGGUUGGCCAUGCGGAUAAGCAUCAAAUAAUUUGUGAUUUUAGUGUAAAAUAGCCAUGGAAUAUUGAGAAACGCACCGGCCCAUGGAUUAUUCAUCGGUGGGAGGAGGUUUUCAUCUGUGUUUAUGUAUGUGGGUGAAUGCUGACGGUAUGUGUGCCGAGCUUGGAUAGGAUAGCACUGUAAACAGCAUUACAUUUGUGCAUCCAACGGAGACGCAUCAUAUUUAUUGCUGGUCGUCACUCAACGAAAUGACGUGAUAGUAUAGUGCAGCGAGAAUACAAUCAGAUGGGAAGUAUUAUUUACAUUAUACCACUCAUAUGUACCCAUCUACAUUUCUUAAUUAUACAAUUUUUUCACAGGAAACAGAUAAUACUUCCGGUAGUUGCGAUUGACACAUACGGUCAUACAGCGUGUUAUUAAUGGAAAAAGGAAACAUCGUGAAAUUGUACAAGGAUUCUCGUAAAAACUAAGAAAGUCAUCAUUUUAUUACGAUAUUUCGCACCGGCAUCACCCGUGUAUGGUUGUGUGUGUGUGUGUUAGUGAUUGCCAAAACGGCUCCAAAGCCAUCUCUGAUCGGCUCCAGGUAAUUUCGAAGUUUCACUACUUUUCAUAUUUUACUACAACUUAAUUACAUUCCGCAUUAUGCAACAGAUUUUCCUGUUUGAAACUUUAUUGGAAAGGAAUUGUUUCGGAGCACUGUGCUGCUUUGGAUCCUUUUUGUGCAGUCGUUGGUUCGAAACCGGCCCGGAGCCGGCUACGGAGCCGUGGGUGCAAAGCCGACUCUGGAGCCAGGUAGGAGCCUCCGAAAUGCCCGUCACUAGUGUGUGCAUGUGUGUGAGAAUGCCUAAGGAAUUUGCGCGGGAGAAAUGAUAUGUGUGGAUUUUCAAAUUGAGUCACAAUGAAAUGUAAAAAUAAUACAUGCAUGAUACUGAUGUACGUUGCAGUUGCCACAACAAUCAAGAAUGGCGGCUGUGAACAACUAGAACAUCCGCGCAUACUCAACUGGACCAAAACACUUUCCGCUGACACACUUGAAGCAAACCAACAUUGCCACACACCACAAAAUAACAGGAAAAGGAAAGUAAUACAAAAUAUGUUGAUUUACGCAUUCUAAUCUUUUCUAUUUCUUUUUUUACUGCAAACAGGGGACAUUGUAUCACCGAAUCUGCAAGUGGAGUUUAUGUACGGAAAGUGCUGUGAAGAAGCGUUUUGUGCGGUGUGUUUCGUUGUAUUUCUAUCUACAAGAUAUGCAUCAACAAUUAAUUAGUGCGUUAAAUCGUGUGUGAUUCAACAAUCGAUAGCUUUACCCGAGCAUUACAAGCGGCAACAAUACAUGUGCCUGGCGCAGAGACAACAACGCCGUCGGCAUCCGUUGAUACCAUCCAAAGUGAUGGUUGAAAUCGUAUUUAAACGUGUAAAACCAUGUAUUGGGUCAUGUAAGUAUUGAAUAAUAGCUAAAUAAAAUACAUUUUAUCGUUGUACUGGACAAUGUGCAUCGAAAUUUAAAAAAAAGUGUGUGUGUUUUUGUUUACAUCCGAAUACAGAACCCACAGUGCUAUACUG